rfam:Oryza sativa (indica cultivar-group) chromosome 4, whole genome shotgun sequence.
AAUAAGUACAGUUUUACACUAUUCAUGUUCAACGUUUGACCGUUCGUCUUAUUUGAAAAAUUUGUAUGAUUAGUAUUUUUUAUUGCUAUUAGAAGAUAAAACGUGAAUAGUACUUUAUGUGUGACUAAAUAUUUUUAAAUUUUUCAUAAAUUUUUAAAUAAGAUGAACUGUCAAACAUUAGACACGGAUACCUACGGCUGCACUUAUU